AAGCAGCCACUAACAGAAUGUAAUGCGUACCGAUCACGGACGUCAGGUGACAACCCUACCGUUCAUGACGUCACGCUUCCUCACGCCGCACGUCGAGCGGGCUCGUACGCUCGGUACUGCGAGUGGACGUCCUACGUCGAGAGAGGAGGUGAGGAACGAAAGCGGUGUCCCACCGGCCACUGUAGGAAAAAAUCAUUAAGUUUCAAGUAGUACGUCCUGUGAUCGAUAGACAUUUUUACCAUGGAGUAAUAUUAAACAAUAAGUCUGUGCGUCAGGUGAUUGAUAAGAGAAGCCAAGUAAAAAAACAACAAAAGAAUCCUACCCCUUGUAUGUUUUCACCUGCCGCAGGUCCCUACAUUAAGAGAUGGACACCGUGCAAGUCGACCCACGACGGUUACGUUUCCUAUAACAAAACAUAACCUCAAAACGAUAUUUUGAGGAGGUGCCGGGAGAACCAUUUCGUAGAUUGGAUCUAGAAUUGGCAGGGGGAAAGAAAGAUAGAAGUAAGUAGAGGAAGAGAGACAAGGGAUGCGGUGGCGGCGGCGGCUGCGGCUUUAGCGGUGGUUGACGGAGGGGGUGGGGAGGAAGUGGCGAGGGUUGACGCAGGUGGCGGUGGUAGACGCCGGUGACGGGGUUCGAAGUACCGACCGCCGGCCGCGCCGCCAAGAAGCUACGCCGGGUUCCUGCCGGCGGCGUCGCCUCGAGGAGGCCAUCGCGCCGUCGACCUCUACGGGAGUCCAAUCGAGGGUUGAGGCUGGUAGCGGUGGGGGAGGAGGUGGUGGAGUGGCGGGGAAAGGGUCUGAACCCUGCUUGGGAUCCUCCGCACCGAGCCACCAACGCAGGAACGAACGGCCGCGACGGCGGACAGCAGUACGGAUGGGUCGGCCAGUAGAGGGAGGGGCCCGUCGGGGGGCUCGGGGAAAGCCGGGGGAAGAUGCCGUCGUCCAACGCGGCGACACCCGACGACGGUACAGGUUAGAUACCUUCAGCAUUCAUGAACUCUCAGGGCUCACCAUCCCGGCUCAGCAGGCGGAGGGUAGUCCGGUGAAGGCUCCUGCUCAGUAGACGGAGGAUAGUCCGGUGAGGGCUCCUGCUCAGUAGUAGCCUACCGCUACAGCCUCACCUGAAUCUACUUGCUCUAGGCGAGCAAUGGUUCAGCCCGCUGUACCUCUGGAGCUUGCCGAGCCCCAGAUGGAGCUCGUUGUGAAGGUUCUCCUUCUUUAGGCCCGCACCAGGCCCCUUCCAGGGCCUUGGUUGACGACGGUUGUUGGCAGGACAUUAAACGGGCUGUCCUCUCCCAGUCACAUGUAAAUAGGGCUGUGUUGGAUUCCCCCGUGCGGGCGGCUUGGUGCAGUAGCCGAGGGAGAACUCCUUCGUGAAGGCACCUAACAGGUUCUACCCACUACUGCUAGGCGGUAGCGGUCCGAAUUGGACCCUCGUAAUGGACGUCUUGUUCCUGCUCGUGCUACAGUGGUACCGGUGGGCCCAGUAGUUACGAAAAAACUUUGUAAACGAACGCACCUACCACUUCCUUGGGACCUACUUCCUCCUAACAACCCUCCGGGACCAACUGUACACCACACUGGGUCGUACCGUCCACGUAGUACACCUCUUCCCUUUGUUAGCUCGGUUUUACUGUACGGGUCGAGUACAGGUCCCCUCGGCCUUGGAUUAGCGAGAGUUCGUUGUGUACUAUACACCUAAUUCUACAAGUGAAAAAGUGUGCCACGUAGAACCAAGUAAUUUGAACUACCCCUUCCUACCGUGGCUCAAGACGUCGCUCGGCCGCCUCCUCUUCACCCCCUUGAAGUUUCUCCAGAAGGUCCUCCACGUGCCCGUCCUUCGGCUUGGAUGCAGGUUCGGGGAACUAGGACUCGAAGAGUAGUAACGACCGCUCCCCUUCCCGGUACCGGCGGUGGAGGAAACGUUGCCCCGCUAGUGGUGGAUGAGCGUAGCGUUCGACGUACUCUAUGCGCGCAUAUCGUGGUCGAGUUGAGGCAGGUAUGCCUCAGCGGGUUGGCGGCGUAGUGCACUCUAUCGCGUAGAGUUCCUAAAUUACUGCGUCGCCCGACAACUUCUCCUCGUUUCCGCCUUCCGACUCCUCCUCAGGUCUCUUUUCCUUGCCCGUCUGUGAUUGUUAACCAACUUCUACGAACUCCUAGUUGAUGUCAAGAAUACGUUAGAGCUUCGUCACGUUCACUACGGGGAGGAGGAGGAGGCCUUACAAUUGGACUACCGGAGAGGAGGAGUUCUACUAGAUAUAUACUUGUUCACAUGAAGAUAACACUGCACGUGCACAAAACGUUCAUCACUGUUAUACCUAGUCUUUUCUUUAUCGAAUUGUCGUCUUACCUACCCUUUCUAAAAGCUCUCGUUGUGAGCCUUUUUCUCCAUGAUGGCUCUCGUGGAGAGCUUUUAAACCAGCAGACCCUCUGUGAUGGCGACACGGUGUGGAAAAGGCCCCCGUCGAGAGCCUUUACUUAUAUGAUGGCUCUCGUGGAGAGCCUUUAGACCAGCAGACCCUCUGUGAUGACGACACGGUGUGGAAAAGGCUCACGUCGAGAGUUUUUACUUCCGCUCGUAACGGCUCUGUUCGAGAGCCGUUUCAAUACAUUUCUUGCGUCAUUGACUGCCUCGGCAGACAACGCCUGCCUGUACGGUGCACCGAGGAGAAACGGCACUCGACGAGAGACGUGCCAAACGGCACGCUACGGAGAAACGGCACCCGUCACUGCCGUUUCUUCCGUCAAACGGCACU
rnacentral:rRNA from 1 species